rnacentral:snRNA from 1 species
AUGCCUUAAACUAAUGAGUAAGGAAAAUAAUGAUUUGGGGUGAUACCUGGGUCAUCACUGCUAAUAUGGGAGGAAUUUUUGAAUGGGUACAGGCCAUCCCUAUGGUGACCGGCCUACUUA